GACGAACGCUGGCGGCGCGCUUAACACAUGCAAGUCGAGCGAUAACCAUGGCUUCGGCCAUGGGGAGAGCGGCGAACGGGUGAGUAACACGUGAGCGAUCUGCCCUCGACACCGGGAUAGCCCGGGGAAACCCGGAUUAAUACCGGAUGGCCUCUCGAGCCCACGGGCCCGUUGGAAAAGAUGGCUUCGGCUUUCGGGCGAGGAGGAGCUUGCGGCGGAUUAGCUUGUUGGUGGGGUAACGGCUCACCAAGGCGACGAUCCGUAGCUGGUCUGAGAGGACGAUCAGCCACACUGGGACUGAGACACGGCCCAGACUCCUACGGGAGGCAGCAGUGGGGAAUCUUGCGCAAUGGGCGAAAGCCUGACGCAGCGACGCCGCGUGAGGGAAGAAGGCCUUCGGGUUGUAAACCUCUUUCAGGAGGGACGAAGCCACUCGGGUUAAUACCCCAGAGGGUGACGGUACCUCCAGAAGAAGCCCCGGCUAACUACGUGCCAGCCGCCGCAGUAACAC
rnacentral:rRNA from 1 species